UUGGUUAAGUUAUUAAGGGCGCACGGCGAAUGCCUUGGCACUAGGAGCCGAUGAAGGACGGCACUAACACCGAUAUGCUUCGGGGAGCUGUAAGUGAGCUUUGAUCCGGAGAUUUCCGAAUGGGGGAACCCACUACGUUUAAU
rnacentral:rRNA from 1 species